UUUUUUUUCUUCCUUGGUGGACUUUUUACAACCUACUAGGAGUUGAUGGGCUUCGAAUUUUCAAGAAUCGAUGUGCAAAUAAUUUCCUUGGGAGGAACUCUUUAUAACGAUCUACAAUCAGAAAGUGAUUCAAAAGACUCUCAGCUAAGUGCUACAUAAUGAGCAACUCGUACUCCUCAACCAAACGGCACAGCAAGAAGACAGCCAUUGGUGAAACAGGAAGAAGACCUUCAUCAGAACCCAAUCUUUGUGGCACCCUAAUCUUGGACUUCCCAACCUCCAGAGUUAUGAGAAAUAAAUUUAUGUUGUUUAAG
rnacentral:lncRNA from 1 species